CUCAUAGGCCUUAUGAGUUUGGUAGUCUAACUUUUGAGUAAAAAGAAAAACAAGCAGUACAUCCCACUCCUUAACAGGCAAACCCAAAACUAUCAAAGAAUUCAUAUGUUGUCGAACAUGAGUUAAAAAGUUUCUUAUUUGUUUACCCGAACCCUUUGCAAGGUUAGGUGUAUCCAACAUACCCCUUAGGUGAGCAUUAAUAACUACCAGUUUAUUUUCAUACCUACUCUUAAGCAAAUUUAAAGCAUGUUUAUAAUUGUCAUUUGUUAAAGUGAGGUCAUUUAUUAAUUUUAAUGCUUCUCCAGAUAAAGCACCCUUUAAAUAUAAAAAUUUUUGAACCUCAUCUACAGCAUACGUUAAAAUACAAAUAUGCCCAGCCAAUCAGAGAAAUUGAGAGUGGAGCAGCACUGCUGAUCCUUUCGUGAAAGUUCGUACGUCAAAUUUCGUUGCCGAUUAGCUAAGGAAAUUGAAAAUCAACGGAUUGGGGCAGAGAAUAAUUAAAAGUAUGUUAAUAUAGUUGUAUAAUAUAGUAAUUUAAUAUUCAUUUCUCUAUGGAUUGGGGAUUGGUUUUCUUUAACUUAACCUAUAUUGCAGAUUUUAUUUGCUUUGCUUGCUUUCUAAUAAUUGAUUUAAUUAUCAACAAUUAUAUCAACUUUAUGACUAUUUGAGUAAAAAUUCAUAGUGUAUAGUGUUGAGUGUUUACUGUUUAGUGUUUAAGUUUCAUUACCUUUCAAUAAACUUGCCAGUGUUUCUUAGUGUAUAAUUUCCUUCCACUUAAACCUAUAUUUGCACUUAUCUGUUGCUGUCUGUUAGACAAUUAUGGCAUCACUAAGUCAACAAAAUGCAAUCUGUGAAGUUUGUGAUAAGGAAUUUUCAAGCACAUCUACCAGAAACAGGCAUUGGAAAAAGUUUCAUCCUGAAUUUGUUGGGAAGGAACAAAUAAAACACAUUAUAAUGUCCAAUGUGUACUAAUGAUAUCCAGACAUUUUCAUAUUUUAACUGUUUAAACAAACAUUUGCUUGAUAUUCACCAUAUAACUGUCAAAGAAUCAAUUUUAAAUUUUAGGAAUUUUGAAGAAUUCACAUAUUGGAGGGCACAAGAUAAUAGGGAAGUAGAUUAUGCUUGUCAGACCCGAAACAAGUUUAAGAAUGGGGAAGAACACAUAUUUUACAAUUGCAACAGGAGUGAUAUCAGAGGAUUUAAUAGCGCGUGCAAAGUGAGAAGUCUGGGGGAAGCAUUCGCAUUCAAGGAACAUGUCAACAAGACCAAACUCAAAUAGCUAUCAGCAUAAAAUUGUAAUAGAAGCCCAUAACAAAGCCGAAAAAAUGAAUGGUAAGGUAGAAUUUUUAGAAUUUGGAAAACUUAAAGUACAAAGUGUUUCGGUAAGUGGUAAG